rnacentral:rRNA from 1 species
GACGAACGCUGGCGGCGUGCCUAAUACAUGCAAGUAGAACGCUGAAGGAGGAGCUUGCUCUUCUGGAUGAGUUGCGAACGGGUGAGUAACGCGUAGGUAACCUGCCUGGUAGCGGGGGAUAACUAUUGGAAACGAUAGCUAAUACCGCAUAACAGUAGAUGUUGCAUGACAUUUACUUAAAAGGUGCAAUUGCAUCACUACCAGAUGGACCUGCGUUGUAUUAGCUAGUUGGUGGGGUAACGGCUCACCAAGGCGACGAUACAUAGCCGACCUGAGAGGGUGAUCGGCCACACUGGGACUGAGACACGGCCCAGACUCCUACGGGAGGCAGCAGUAGGGAAUCUUCGGCAAUGGACGGAAGUCUGACCGAGCAACGCCGCGUGAGUGAAGAAGGUUUUCGGAUCGUAAAGCUCUGUUGUAAGAGAAGAACGAGUGUGAGAGUGGAAAGUUCACACUGUGACGGUAUCUUACCAGAAGGGGACGGCUAACUACGUG